rnacentral:rRNA from 1 species
AGACGGAGGGUGCAAGCGUUAAUCGGAAUUACUGGGCGUAAAGCGCUCGUAGGCGGCUUGUUAAGUCGGAUGUGAAAGCCCUGGGCUCAACCUGGGAACUGCAUUCGAUACUGGCAGGCUAGAGUAUAGUAGAGGCAAGUGGAAUUCCGGGUGUAGCGGUGAAAUGCGUAGAUAUCCGGAGGAACAUCAGUGGCGAAGGCGACUUGCUGGACUAAUACUGACGCUGAGGAGCGAAAGCGUGGGGAGCAAACGGGAUUAGAUACCCCGGUAGUCC